UUCCUCAUGUAGCAUUUGGUUUUAAGUCAGAAUGAUGUCUUUGUCCCAAAAAGAAUCACAAUGAAUUCCAUAUUAUCCCUUCUAUCUACCCCUGUGGAAAAGAUCUCUCAUCUGAAAGUCUCUAACAACAACCAGCACAAGAUGCUGAUAUU